UACGUAGGGCGCAAGCGUUGUCCGGAAUUAUUGGGCGUAAAGAGCUCGUAGGUGGCUUGUCGCGUCUGCCGUGAAAGCCCAUGGCUUAACUGUGGGUCUGCGGUGGAUACGGGCAGGCUGGAGGCUGGUAGGGGCAAGCGGAAUUCCUGGUGUAGCGGUGAAAUGCGCAGAUAUCAGGAGGAACACCGGUGGCGAAAGCGCUCUGCUGGACCUUAACUGACGCUGAGGAGCGAAAGCGUGGGGAGCGAACAGG
rnacentral:rRNA from 1 species